rnacentral:rRNA from 1 species
UACAGAGGACCCAAGCGUUGUUCGGAUUUAUUGGGCGUAAAGGGAGCGUAGGCGGCCGCGUAAGUCAGGUGUUAAAAUUCGACGCUCAACGUCGAAGCGCAUUUGAUACUGCGGGGCUCGAGGAGUGGAGAGGAGACAGGAAUUCACGGUGUAGCAGUGAAAUGCGUAGAUAUCGUGAGGAAGACCCAUGGCGAAAGCAUGUCUCUGGAAACUACCUGACGCUGAUGCUCGAAGGCCAGGGGAGCAAACGGG